AGCGGCGGACGGGUGAGUAACACGUAGGCAACCUGCCCUCGAGACUGGGAUAACCUCCGGAAACGGAUGCUAAUACCAGAUACGCGAUCUUCCCUCCUGGGGAGAUCGGGAAAGACGGAGCAAUCUGUUACUCGGGGAUGGGCCUGCGGCGCAUUAGCUAGUUGGUGAGGUAACGGCUCACCAAGGCGACGAUGCGUAGCCGACCUGAGAGGGUGAUCGGCCACACUGGGACUGAGACACGGCCCAGACUCCUACGGGAGGCAGCAGUAGGGAAUCUUCCGCAAUGGACGAAAGUCUGACGGAGCAACGCCGCGUGAGUGAGGAAGGCCUUCGGGUCGUAAAGCUCUGUUGCCAGGGAAGAACGCUUGGGAGAGUAACUGCUCYCAAGGUGACGGUACCUGAGAAGAAAGCCCCGGCUAACUACGUGCCAGCAGCCGCGGUAA
rnacentral:rRNA from 1 species